rnacentral:rRNA from 1 species
UACGUAGGCAGCGAGCGUUGUUCGGAGUUACUGGGCGUAAAGCGUGCGUAGGCGGUUUUGUAAGUUUGGUGUGAAAUCUCCCGGCUCAACCGGGAGGGUGCGCCGAAAACUGGGAGGCUAGAGUGCGGGAUGGGAGAGUGGAAUUCCUGGUGUAGCGGUGAAAUGCGUAGAUAUCAGGAGGAACACCGGUGGUGCAGACGGCUCUCUGGACCGUAACUGACGCUGAGACACGAAAGCGUGGGUAGCAAACAGG